AUGUAGCCAAGUGGAUCAAGGCGGUGGAUUGUGAAUCC
rnacentral:tRNA from 1 species